rnacentral:tRNA from 1 species
GGGGUUGUGGCUCAGUGGUAGAGCACUUGCCUAUCACGACAUGCAAGGCCCUGGGUUCGAUCCUCAGCACCACA